GUGGGGAAUAUUGGGCAAUGGGCGAAAGCCUGACCCAGCAACGCCGCGUGAAGGAAGAAGGCCUUCGGGUUGUAAACUUCUUUUAUGAGGGACGAAGGAAGUGACUGUACCUCAUGAAUAAGCCACGGCUAACUACGUGCCAGCAGCCGCGGUAAUACGUAGGUGGCAAGCGUUGUCCGGAUUUACUGGGUGUAAAGGGCGCGUAGUCAGACUGGCAAGUCAGAUGUGAAAUCCAUGAGCUCAACUCAUGAACUGCAUUUGAAACUGUUGGUCUUGAGUAUCGGAGAGGCAAGCGGAAUUCCUAGUGUAGCGGUGAAAUGCGUAGAUAUUAGGAGGAACACCAGUGGCGAAGGCGGCUUGCUGGACGACAACUGACGCUGAGGCGCGAAAGCGUGGGGAGCAAACAGGAUUAGAAACCCGUGUAGUCC
rnacentral:rRNA from 1 species